AUGCAUCCCGAGUUGAAAGCUUGCCUUGACGAGUUCAAGGCGAAGGCUCAGGCACGCUUCGAGGCCAGUGCCAGGCUGUUCGCGCAGCACGACGAGCUGCUCUCCAAGCUCCUCACAGGAGCUUCGACCCCGCAGCCGGCGCGCUCUGCGGUCGUGGCCUCCAAUGGCGACCUCACUGUCAACGCCACUGUCGUGGCGGUCGUCCCCGACACCUCUUCCUUUGCCACCAAGGCCCAAGAGGUCAUCGCGCCCCACUAUGGCGCGUUCCUGGACUCCAUCGAUCUGAUGCCCAUGACCUGUUCGAUGGCUGGCUCGACCCAAGUCGCCUGUGCUGCGAACGCCAACGAGGUCCACAACGUCACCACAUCCGUCCGCCUCGAGCCUUUGGUCGCCCACAUCCACCAGGAGGUCGACGCCGAGAUCGUCACCCCGGUGGCAACCACCACCGAUGUCUUCUCCGCCACUACCCAAGCCCAAGAGGCCCCCACGUCCGCCAAUGAUUCAUCCCCAGUUUCCAUUGAGAUGAUGGCCGUCACCUGCUCGACGGAGUGCUUGACCCAAGAAGUAGAGCAACUCAUGCCGGAGUCUUCUAUCAGCACCAACACCCCUACUUCCGAGGUUCUGUCCUCUGCGCCCGUCACCUCCGACAUCAUCCCAAGUGUUGCCACGGCAGCCAAUCCAGUGUCGACGAAGUGCUUGGCAGAAACCCAUGUCUACGCAAAUGACUCCGUGCAGCUUCUGAUCGCCGCCAUCGACAGUGCCGACGAGACACAUGCCACUGCCACCACUGAGAGCUUUGAACAUCAACCAUGGCCACCGCCUGUAGAAGUGCAGACCAGUCACAUGGGACAACUUUUCAGGCCUAGCCCGUGGCCGUCGUUCAGACCUCUAUCAGUCACAAGCUACCCGGAAGAGACAUGUUCAAGUAUCCACAGUCAAUCACAUAGAGGUUCCUGCUUUAGUCCUUGGUUAGUUUGGUUGAUGUUCAGAGAUGUUCACCUGGAGAAGCAUGGUAAUGGAACUGAUACAAUCAUGCCGUGCACCAGUGGAAUUCAACAUAAUGUGCCUGAACGUUUAAGUGAAAUUGCAAGGAGAUGUUCGGUUGAUGUUCAGAUAUGUUCGCCGGGAGAUGGUCUAGCAAUCGCAAGGGAGUCCGAUGUUCCUAUGAAAAUCAGAAAAAUGGAUAAAGGCUCCGUGGGUUCAAGUGUGGCUGUAGAUGUAAUCUCACUUACAAGAUGUGCAACAUGCAAAUAUCAAUUUUCAAGAGAUUCAAGCAUGACUGAUUUUCCGGCUGGAUCAGAAGUUGAAAACGAAGAUGAAUAUUAUGAAGGGAAUACAACUCCUGGAUUGGUUGGGUGUGAAGCUAGCUUAAACCUCCAAAGUAUAGACGAAUGCUCAGCAGACACUGACAGCGAAACUGAUAAAACAUCUGACAGUUGCGAGUUUCUUGGUGAUUUGAACCCCUCAUCUCUUCAGAAGUACUCCCUACUUAUGUCUGAACUAGAAUCCCAAUUUGCAUAUUCCAGAAAGGUGGACAACUUAUUCAAAAAUGGUGUUCUACUGCUAGUUGAUAACUCUUGCUUGGUAAAUUCAGUAUGCUUUGUACCUGGUCAUCAGAAUGAUCUUGCUGUUACUGAUGUCGACGGCAUGCUCAAGUCGACUGCUGAAGAUAACUGCAGUACACGCAUUUUAAUAUAG
rnacentral:rRNA from 1 species